rnacentral:snRNA from 1 species
UAGAACCCACAAAGGGUG